CAAGUCGAGCGAGUCCCUUCGGGGGCUAGCGGCGGACGGGUGAGUAACACGUAGGCAACCUGCCUCUCAGACUGGGAUAACAUAGGGAAACUUAUGCUAAUACCGGAUAGGUUUUUGGAUCGCAUGAUCUGAAAAGAAAAGAUGGCUUUUCGCUAUCACUGGGAGAUGGGCCUGCGGCGCAUUAGCUAGUUGGUGGGGUAACGGCCUACCAAGGCGACGAUGCGUAGCCGACCUGAGAGGGUGACCGGCCACACUGGGACUGAGACACGGCCCAGACUCCUACGGGAGGCAGCAGUAGGGAAUUUUCCACAAUGGACGAAAGUCUGAUGGAGCAACGCCGCGUGAACGAAGAAGGUCUUCGGAUUGUAAAGUUCUGUUGUCAGGGACGAACACGUCCCGUUCGAACAGGGCGGUGCCUUGACGGUACCUGACAAGAAAGCCCCGGCUAAC
rnacentral:rRNA from 1 species